rnacentral:tRNA from 1 species
GUAGAUAUAGUUUUAACAAAAACAUUAGAUUGUGAUUCUAAAAAUAGGGGUUAGAGUCCCCUUGUCCACC